rfam:Dipodomys ordii contig_51068, whole genome shotgun sequence.
UGGAAGGUGGCUCAGUGGUAGAGUGCUUGCCUUGCAUGCAUGAGGCCCUGGGUUCAAUUCCUCAUUACCAC